rnacentral:tRNA from 1 species
UGAUAUGGCUCAGUCGGUAGAGCGUCGCCUUGGUAAGGCGGAGGUCACGGGUUCGAUUCCCGUUAUCAG